GAGAGAACCCUCCCAUCAGAACGACAAGACUUCAGGAAGAGACACGUGGGAAACCUAUUACCUGAAUGAGAUAAAUUAACCCCUUCUAUGAAAACUGAAGUCUGAAGUCGGCCCUGUAGUGCGCAAUUCCUUUAGCACAGGAGAAAGGAGAGAGUCCUCUAUGGAGUUUGGCAGCCGCGUUCCGCACCCCUCGCUUGGCUUUGGCGCCCUGCUCGCACCUAGGCUGCUGUCUCCACUGUGUCUCUCCCAGCAGACAGGCGAAGAGAAGGGCACUGCAUGGCAGGCUCCGGAUUGAGGAAAGCCCCGUGAGUUCUCACGUCCAGAAGCAUAAGUUCAGUGAGUCACCCUGGGUGAGAGGCAGUUGGCCAGUGUUCAUCCAUCAUCAUAAAACACAACAGACAUUUUCCAGGUUAGGGGUGAAGCCCACUCAAGGGCCUUGUGAAGUCUGUCAUACUCCUUGAUCGCCACACACCUCACGAUCCUUGUAAACACAGAUCUCAACAGAGAAGAGCCACUAGUUAGCCUGUGAGAUCGUCCCAGGAUAUGAAAAUACCCCGGGAGAAGAUGGAGGACUGUUCUAUUGGAAAAGAGCAUUCUCUUCGCUGACCAUCACCCGAUGCAUCUCCCCUUCCCGUCUCCGACCCACCUUGCCACUGCUUCUCAGGAAGAGCUAUCUGCCUAAGCCAUGAAGAAGGCACAUAGGUGCUGUAUUCUGUGUCGCACACUGUACGUUAUCUGUUCUACACUGCACAUGUGCAUCUCUGGGUGCCACACUUCAAAUAUGCACAUGAUAUGUUACCAUGGCUUCACCACAUACCGCCAGCCACAUCCCCUAUUCUCAUUUUUUUAUCAUCCCUGAAAUACUGUUAGCUUUGCUCAGCCCCAUUCCUUUCUUUUAGAGAUAUUUCAAAAGUAUGCUUAACCGCCACACAACUGUGGCACUUUAUCUUGUACUAGUUUAAAGGCAUUUUAAAGAAAUGAUUGCCUGAUAGAGCCAAGAUUUCUUCUAAAGUAGGCAUUAAAUAUAUGA